AGUAGAACGCACAGGAUGCACCGUAGUUUACUACACCGUAUUCUGUGAGUUGCGAACGGGUGAGUAACGCGUAGGUAACCUGCCUGGUAGCGGGGGAUAACUAUUGGAAACGAUAGCUAAUACCGCAUAAGAACAUUUACUGCAUGGUAGAUGUUUAAAAGGUGCAAAAGCAUCACUACCAGAUGGACCUGCGUUGUAUUAGCUAGUUGGUGAGGUAACGGCUCACCAAGGCAACGAUACAUAGCCGACCUGAGAGGGUGAUCGGCCACACUGGGACUGAGACACGGCCCAGACUCCUACGGGAGGCAGCAGUAGGGAAUCUUCGGCAAUGGGGGGAACCCUGACCGAGCAACGCCGCGUGAGUGAAGAAGGUUUUCGGAUCGUAAAGCUCUGUUGUUAAGGAGGAACGUGUGUGAGAGUGGAAAGUUCACACAGUGACGGUACUUAACCAGAAAGGGACGGCUAACUACGUGCCAGCAGCCGCGGUAAUACGUAGGUCCCGAGCGUUGUCCGGAUUUAUUGGGCGUAAAGCGAGCGCAGGCGGUUAGAUAAGUCUGAAGUGAAAGGCAGUGGCUCAACCAUUGUAGGCUUUGGAAACUGUUUAACUUGAGUGCAGAAGGGGAGAGUGGAAUUCCAUGUGUAGCGGUGAAAUGCGUAGAUAUAUGGAGGAACACCGGUGGCGAAAGCGGCUCUCUGGUCUGUAACUGACGCUGAGGCUCGAAAGCGUGGGGAGCGAACAGGAUUAGAUACCCUGGUAGUCCACGCCGUAAACGAUGAGUGCUAGGUGUUAGGUCCUUUCCGGGACUUAGUGCCGCAGCUA
rnacentral:rRNA from 1 species